rnacentral:lncRNA from 9 species
GAUCCUGCAUUGCUGUGGCUGUGGUGUAGGCCGGUGGCUAUGGCUCGGAUUAGACCCCUAGCCCCGGAGCCUCCAUAUGCCGCGGGUGCGACCCAAGAAGAGGCAAAAAAAAAAAAAAAAAAAAAAUCUCCUCCUCACCCUCGUCCCAGCCUCUAGGCCGUUCUCGCCCCCGGAAGGCAACCAAAGUUUCUAGUUUCUGUUACAACCUCAGAAAUAGCACAUGUGCGUGCGUGCGUGCACACUCUCUCUGCCCCCAAAUAAACGGUAGACACAGACCACUAUGUAUAUAAGAUACAGAACACUGUGCACACAGUAUAAAUAAGACAUAUAGUAUAUACAAUAAUACAUAACAUUAUACAGAAUGUUCUAUGUCUUCCUCUUAUGAGGCCGUAAAGAGCCUCUUUCUAGUGCAGUAGAGUGUUGCCCUGCAUGAAUGUUCACAAGUAUUUUAUAAAGUUUUCCAAGUAAUUCCGAUCUUCCCCUAAGAAAUGCUUAUGUGAUGUGUCUCUAGCUCUCCUCCCACCUCAGACGUCCUAAGUAAAUAAAGCUAUAAAUGGAAUGGAGAGGCAAAAGGAAAGACCUUAGCUCAAGGUCAUCCAAAUUUUUUUCCAUCCGUGGCCUACGGGAUGAGAACUCUACGCAGACCGUGUUGUCUGCGGGUUGUUUUCAUUCUCAGUAAUGGUGAGUCCUGGGCUCAACACGUGCAUUCAGUAUCACUCAGACAUGAGUCAAACGAUCUGUCCACGUUUCUCCAGCUCUCACGACAUCCUAGUUUUCUGAUAUGACUUGUAGUUAAGUUUAACUCGAAUGUCUUAAAAAUAAAAUAAGGUUAGUUACCAUCAGCCCAGCACAGGUGGAAUAAAGCAUCAGCAAAACUGGAGAGGAGCCCUCCUGGCACACCAAUUGCUGUUGGCCUCCGGUCACAAGAACUGCACCUUGGAGCCCACUACCACCUUCUUCCCCAAAACUUACCCAUGAGAAGUACGGCAAGAGCUCAGACCUUUUCGUUUUUUAACCAACACUCUUUCCUCAAACAUCUUACAUGGAAGCCGAAUGUAUAAAACAUGCAAAGAAAUCCUCUGAGUCAGUGAGAACCAGGAACCCAGCAGGCGGCUUCUCAGUCUCCGCCCCACCCCGUCCUGCCUCUGGCCCUUCCUCCAGUCCUGGCUCACCAAGACCUCGCCGCAAAACACUUUACUGUUUGAAAACAACCAAAGUGAAAGAAUCCAGUUUAGUCUGGGACGCAGUGGAAAAGAAUCCGACGAGGAACCAAGAGGUUGUGGGUUCAAUUCCUGGUGUCGCUCAGUGGGUUAAGGAUCUGGCAUUUCUGUGAGCUGUGGUGUAGGUCGCAGACGAGGCUCGGAUCCCGUGUGGCUGUGGCUGUGGUGUAGGCCAGCGGCUACAGCUCCAACUGGACCCCUAGCCUGGGAACCUCCAUAUGCCUCGGGUGCGGCCCUAAAAAGCAAAAAAAAUGAAUCCAGUUUAAAGUAAGGCUAAAGAGGAAGGAAAAACCUUAAAUGGCAGAUUCAAACUUUUCAGUUCUGUUCAUAGCAUCAAAACUCAUUAACUCACAGUUAGUUGUAUGCUUGACUCAUGAAAUGUAAAAACUCUGUGAAAUGUUUAAGAAACCUGGUCAAGGUUUUAUAUACAAUCCUCAUAUCCUAAAAUAUACAGCCACAGUUUAGGAUGAAAAUAACACACUAAAGCCAGAGGUCAUCGGCGUACGUGAGGACAGCACAUUUUUUGUGAAUUUCAGAGAUAAACUCAGAACGACUCUCCAACAUUGUGCAAAGAGGUAGUAAAAUAUAGUAAAAUGAAAUCAGUCUAUUUACAUUUUCUUAAUCUUCCCCUAUUAACGUAAUAAAGACACACACACACACACACACACACACAAAUUACUCAGAGGAAACUUAUUUUAAAAAACAAAAUUUCAAACGCAAGCCUAAAAAAAAAAAUCAAAUCCCUUCUCACCAGGAACUCUUGGCUUUUGGCCGACAAUCUCUGCAUAACCAAAAUGUACUUGGAUAGGUUUUCAAGGUGGCCUAAGCUAUCUUGGAAAAAGAGCUAAAAAUACACUUUGUCGUGGCAGGACUACAGAUGCCUCUUUAGACAGCAAGAGGGACAAGACUGACAACAGACGUGGCAUCCGCAUUUCUCCAAAGCAGAAAAGGGACCCUUUAAACACACAACUCAAUUUUCUUUUAAAUGAUCAAAUAAAACUUUGGACUCAAGCGUGGGGUGGGGAAUGGCCUCCGACAUGGAGGAUGCCAAACAUGAGGUCUUCAAAUGAGGCAAACGGGGCUGCCUGAUUCUCACAAAGCAGCUCAGCUCUGUCCAACUCCCAGAGGGCGUUAGGCGGGAGGCUAAGAAUCUUCCAACCAAGAUUUGGAGAAAGCCUAUCUGGGCCCGUCUUGGGGUGCAGCCUCCAGGAGAAGAGACAGAGGCCAGAAACCAAGUGACUUCUGUGAUUUGUAUGAGAUCGGAGUGGCGUGCCAUUGGACUAGAAUGUCUCCUGUAAAAGAACCUAAAGCUUUCUUCCCUUUAGGGAAAGACAAAAACAAAAAGAGGAGCUACUCUGGGGGCAACGCCAUUAGCAAGGCGUUUCCUUUGUGGCCUCUUCUGACUUAAUGACAUCUCAUUUAGCCUGUCCUACCCCAACAAAGUACAACAUUGAAGGAAAAGCGUUAAUAUGGGCACAGUCAUCUGAUUAAUCUCAGAAUGAAAUACACGAUAAACACGUCUUGAGUGAAAACAACACGACUCCACCCCUCCCUAAGGUGAGAAAGAAGCUUCCCAGACGGCCGCGGGAGCCCUGAGAACUCCGGCGAGGGGGCGCUAUACCGACCUGAGCCUCUAAACUGAGAGACAUUCAGAAUGAACAGAUUUCAAAACCAGAAUGGACAACCAUUUGCCAACUCUCUCCUCCAUCAGCACAGAGAAAGAAGAGAGUACUGAGAUCAGAAAAUGUUUGACUUCAGAUGCUUGGCCAGAAGUACUGGAUAUGACAAUGGAUAUGACAAUGCCACUUGUCAAGCCUUUGUUAUACACCAAGCGGUGCAAACUGAGAAGGCGGCCAGCAGGAGCUCACCUGCAACACCAGUUCCUUCCCGUCGCCAAGGAAGGCUUCGGCAGGGCUAAGCAACUUCCCUGGGUUAUUUUCUUAGCUCAGGAACAGGUGGAAGAUCGCACUCUGCUGCUUUCCCUCUGACCCACUGAGAGACUGCUAACAGUCAGGAAGCACAUAAAACAAGGCGAACGAACAGACACUCCUUCUAUGAUACAUAGGAAAAUAAAGUAGGGGGAAAAAGCAAAUGACUUAAAAAGGACUGAGUUCUACACAGAACACCCCCCCACACCUGUGUGGGCAGGGACGGCCCCAGCACCUAGCAGUAACACCCAGCCCAAGGGCAAGUCCCAGUCUUCCCCAUACCGCCCCCAGGCCCCCCCGCCCCCCUUCUCCAACUCAACCACCCUCACCCUCGUCUCCUGCUGCAAGAAACUCCAAACUGGACCUCCCAUGUCAAUGCUUCCUCCACUCAAAAAGCCCGACUUCUGUAAACCAUGAAUCAGAACAUGCCACUCUGCUGUUCAGGGCUCCCCAGGGGCUGCCAGGCCCAGACUCCGACUCCUCCCUGCGCCCUCGAGGCCUCCUGAGCUGCCUGCUUCCUCCUGGGCUGCUCAGGAGGGCCAGCAACUCGAGCUUCCUCCCAGCUCGAUCGCGGUGCCAAGCCCUCCCUCGCCUGGAAUGCUCGUCCUGGCUCAGGCUUGGGCCUGAGGACGCCUCCAACUUGGGUCUCAGUUCAAAGGCCGUCUCCCGGAAAGGCCUUUCUCGACCACCCUCCAAGACAGGCUCCCACUCUCUUUGUUCCAUUAUAGACGAAUCAUAAUUUGAAAUAGGUAUUUGUUUUCCUUACACUGUCCUCCCCUACCAGAAUACAAAUUCUGUUUGAUUCUCCACUAUAUUUGCUGGACAAAAGAAAGAAGGACCAUGAAGAACUUACUUGAAGAAAACCUUGAAAAUCGACAGAAAAGCAUAAUCGUCUAUCUGAGCAAAAGGAGAGGAAGUACACAAAGGUGUCAACAUUAACCUGGGAGAUCAAUAUUCUCCAUCAAAGCCUCAGCCAGAUUUCUUUUUUGAACAUCACAGAACGGUCCUAAAUCCAAAAGAAUACGCAAACCAAAACCGCCCAAGUCAGAAGAAAGAGGAAGGAACAGGUGCCUGACCUUAUCGGUAUUAAAAUCAUGAAACAACAGUCAUUUAAAGGAUAACGUACAACAAGAGAUCAAGAAAACAGAACAGAUGAAAAACACUCCAAAUAUACUGAGUAAAUGACAAAAAGGGCAAAUCUAGUCACUGAGGCAAAGACUGGAUAGUUCACAAAAUAGUGCAACACAACCAGUUAUCUGAGGGGAAAAAGUACAAACCUACAUCCUUCCAUAAUACCACCCACCUCAUCUCCUGUACUAGAAAUAUAUUCCAGAUGGACCGAAAAAUUAGAAAUUUAAGAAAAAAAUAACAGCAAAAGAAAAGCAAGAGUUCCCCUCGUGGCACAGCAGACACGAAUCCGACUAGGAACCAUGAGGAACUCCUUAAAUCGUCAAAAUGUUUUAAUGUGUAAAUCCAGGGCUGGCCAGAGUCUAGGGCGUCCCCAUACGCCUGUGACAAUAUCCAUCCAAAUCUACACUGUUCGUGUAACUCCACUGUAGACACCUACGCCACAAAGCCGCUUCCAUAAAUACACGUAAUACACACACACACACACACACACACCCGACUACAGCUUUGUUUUCCCAACAAAACGCAACACCAGUGGCCAUAAAAUGAUUGAACAAUUGAUGGUAUUUUCUUUCACAAAAGGAGUACCAUGCAGCUAUUAAUGACAGAAGCCACUCUAGACACACAAAGGUCCAACAGCAGUAUACACAACAACAGUGCAUUCUAAGUCCAUAACAUAAAAAACAGCACACACACUCACAG